UGCUUAUUAGCUCAAUUGGAUAGUGUUAUGUUAUUAGCAUGAAAAUUAUAGACUUGUAGGUUCAAGUCCUACAUGGGCUA
rnacentral:tRNA from 1 species